GCACAGGGAAUCCUCAGGUGACUGUCUUCCUCUUUCUUUUGUUUUGUUUUUUGUCUUUCUUUGAGACGGAGUCUCGCUCUGUUGCCCAGGCUGGAGUGCAGUGGCGCGAUCUCGGCUCAUUGCAACCUCCGCCUCCUGGGGUCCAAGCAAUUCUCCUGCCUCAGCCUCCUGAGUAGCUAGGAUUACAAGCACCCGCCAUCAUGCGCGGCUAAUUUUUGUAUUUUUUUGUAGAGAUGGGGUUUCACCAUGUCAGCUAGGCUGGUCUUGAACUCCUGACCUCAGGUGAUCCGCCCGCCUCAGCCUCCCAAAGUGCUGGGAUUAUAGGCAUGAGCCACUGCGCCCGGCCCACUUCUUUUUUCUUAAAAUUCCCUUGGCUCUUGACUUUUACAGCACUUUCCUUUCUUUCUCCCCUCUCUUCUGCGGGUUCAUCUUGCCCAGUCACUCUUUAGGUGGACUUCCAUCCUGACUCCCUUCUAAUCCCAAUUAACAGACUCUUUCCAAGAAAGUUCACCAUCAAAUCCAGCCCAGAUCUCUCUCCUCAGCUGUUGACCCUCAUUUCCUGCUUCCAAGGGACAUUUUCAACUGAGAUCAAGGGCACCUCAGAUUCCACUUGUCCGAUUUCACAGGCCCGCUGGUCUCACCACACUCUCUCAUAGGUUUGGUGGGUUUUAGAGCUGUUUUCCUAAGGCCUGGGAGACCUAGGGCAAUCUCCUGCUCUCUGCUCCCCGCUCCCCAGCCUCCCAGCCCCCUUGCCUGCUGCCCUUGUUGUCUAGAACAGGCUUCCUCCCUCUUAAACUGGCUCCUAUUUGCCAUCCUCUUGGGCCUCCUCGUGGAAGGCCCCUCAAAAUUAGCUGGUUGGCUUGUUAGAAAUGAAGGUUUCUUAGUACCCACCUUGAACAUCUUUUCAAAUUUUGAGAGGGAAGGCCCUGUUUGUACAUUUUUACGAAGCUCCCCAGGUAAUGACAAUGCCCUCUCAAGUUGAGAACAAGAGAAAAAAGAGAGGAUACAUUCUAGAUGAAUUACAAGCACCAGUGGGUAGGAUUUAACAAUUGUCUGGAUACAGAAUGUGAGGGAGAGGGAAGAAAGAGAAGCCCUCCAGAAUUUGAGACUGGGAGGAUGACAUACCAGUGAGUGAACUAUAGGAGCCCUAAAAUGAUUUUUUGUGGGUGAAGACAUUAAAUUCGGUUGUUUUACCUUCAGUUUGCCACGCUAAGGAGACCUGAGUAGAAAAUGAAUGAAAAACAUUGCCAAGGUCCUUUCUGAAAUUACUUGUGUAAAUUCAAAACUAUCUUUUAUUGUUUUCCUUCGCCUAAUGUUAAAACCCAAGUUGUAAACCCAAAUGAAGGGAUAAUACAAAUGAUCUUAAAGUAGACAGAUCUGUGUCAGUGUUGACUAGCAAAAGGGGAGAAUACCUGGAAUUGAAUUAAAGCAUGAGCUGUAAAAGAAGCUGCUUAAUUAGAGCUCAAACUUAUCAGCACAUCUCUUUCUCCAAGUAUUUUCUAAAACAAUUAUCCUAAUUUAUGUUUUUGAAUUGCAAAAGGAAUAGGUACCCCUGAACUCUCACCUGCCACUUUCCAAAAAAAAAUUAAGUCUUCUUGGAGAGUCUCUUGAAAAUGCUGUCUUGUAUUGGCACAGAUGUUUAUUUGUAUUUUAAAAUAAGACAACACAAUGUAUUGAUAAAAUCUACCUCUACAGAAUCAAUGCCAUGGUCACUGAAAUGCAAGAUUAAAGAAAAAGUGUGUUUCCUAAUUGUUUAUACUAUAAAGUUAAUCCAUUGAAAUCUGAACCCUAAAAUUAUAGUUCAGUCUUAACACGAUCUAGCAAUAUAGAAAAUUAUAACUGAAUACAAGGUUUAAAGUUACGAAAGAGAAUUAGAAAUAUAGCAACUGAACCACUGAUGAUUAAAGAAAACUCUAUUGUAAAGACCCAACACUAAGUGUUUCAUGUUAACAUUUGCUAUUUCAAGACUUGUGCUUUUAUAGAUACGAAAGUAUUUAAAUUUGCUGUUAUAUUCUUUAUGGCCUUAAAUCAGCAAAGCCCAAGCUUCUCCAUGACCAGAACCAAAUGUUAUUUUCUAAAGAAAAGAGCUGCAGGAUCAGGGAGGUGUCAAGCAAUUCAUCAGAAGGAGGAGGACAAGAAGCCAAGACAAACCUUGACUCUUUAGGGCAUAGUGCAUACUUAACCCUUUAUCAUAAAAUAUAAACACUUUUUUUAAUGGAAAGAACAUUUCUGAAUUCAUGUUUUCUUCUCAGUUUAAAGAUAAUUUGAAGUCCUAAAUUCAAGUUUAAUAACCAGAGAUAGAACAGAUCAUUAGAGCUAGCAAUCAAUUGCAGGGUCCUCCUUUACAGAUGAAGAGUGUGGGAUGGGGCAACAGUGAGCCCAGGUCAGUGGCAGAGCUAGGAGCACCUCCCGGGGUCCCAGCGCCCUCCCGCAUGUGAGCUCCCACAUGUGAGGCCAUCAUCUGGAGCCUUCUACUUCCACGCAUACUUUUUUUUUUUUUUUUUUUGAGACAGAGUCUCUCUCCUUUGCCCAAGCUGGAGUGCAGUGGCACGAUCUCAGCUCACUGCAACCUUCGCCUCCCGGAUUCAAGUGAUUCUUCUACCUCAGCCUCCCGAGUAGCUGGGAUUACAGGCGUGUACCACCACACCCAGCUAAUUUUUGUAUUUUUAGUAGAGAUGGGGUUUCACCAUGUUGGUCAGGCUGGUCUCGAACUCCUGAGCUCAGGCAAUCUGCCUACCUUGGCUUCCCAAAGUGCUAGGAUUACAGGAAUGAGCCACCAUGCCCGGCCUCCACGCAUACUUUUAAACUGAAUAAAAGCAGUGCUUCUCAUUCUUAAGGUCUCCAAUGGACACCAUCAGAAUUAACUUUAACACGUGUCCAAAUCCUGGAAAUAAAAUAUAGAUGGUAAAUUUUGCUCAAUCAAAAAUUUUGCUCAAUCAAAAUUUUAAUUUUUUAAAGCUAAAACAUUCUUCUCAUGACUGAACAAUUUUCAUUUUGAAAAGUUCAGUUGUGUAUGUGUGAGUUCAUGAUGUCAUAAUGGAGAUUGGGUUCAAUUCAAUAAAGAGAUAUGAAAGACCUAUGUAUUGGCCCCAUUCUAGAGACGGUGGAGGGCAGAGAGAAAUGACAUGGAACUAACCUUAAGGAAUGCACUAUCUAGCCAGGAGACAGACAUACAGCCAAAUAUGUAAGACGGUGGGAUAACUCUAGCGGAACAGUUGUGUGCUGGAACCAGCUAGCCAGAGCCCAUCUCUGUAGUGAGUGUGCAUCUCUUCCCAAGUCUGCUUUUAGCGUCUUCACAUUCAUGGCUUGAAGGUGGCCAUGGUGGGAGUAUUUACACCACAGAAAUCAGCAAAUGCUAUGCAUCAGGGCCCUAGGAAGGCCAAUUAUGAAACACCAGCAUAUGACAGGAUAGAAGAUGUCAGAGAAAAGGUGCGUUUUGCAGAAUGGAAAUCUCAGUUUGGCGAGAGCUUUGGAUGGAGGAGUAGGCAGUAAGACGAAGGGAUGCCAGCUAGAAGGAAUACAUAUAUAGAGGCAUAGCAUGCUUAGGAAAAAAAAGUAGAUCAGUGGCUCUCAAACUUAAAUGUCCAUCAACAUCACCUGCAGGACUUGUUAAAACACAAAUUGCUGGGCGCUGCCCCCCAGAGUUUCUGAUUUAAUAAAUCUGGGGUAGGGACUGAGGAUUUGCAUUUCUAACAAGUUCUCAGGUGAUACUAAUGCUGCUGGUUUGGAGGGCCCCACUUUAAGAACCAACAGAAGUAGAUGAUGGAAUACUCCAUGCCAUGCCAAAAAAAAAAAAAAAGAACCUGGGAUUUUCUCUAGCUCCUCACCUUUUAAAAUGUGUUCCAGGGGCCAGCAGCAUCAGCAUUUCUGGGAGCUUAUUAUAAAAGCAGACUCUCAGGCCCCCACCUCAGACUUGUUGACUCAGAAUCUACAGUUUAACCAGAUCACCAGGUGAUCGUUAUGUGUGUAAAAGUUUGAUAAGCACUGCUCUAUCAAGCCCACUGGUUCCCAGCCCGGGCCUGCACAUUAGAAUCCCCUGGAGAGGCUUUUCAAAUGUACUUGUGCCCAGGUCCCACUGUAAUGCACUUGAUUUAGGAUUGCGCCAGGGCAUGGGUAUGGUUUCAGAGCUCCCCAGGUGAUAGUAAUGUGCAACCAGGGCUGAGAACCACCGCUAUAGGCAUCACCCUCAGUUAGGAGAAGAGCUCCCCAUCAGGGCACUGUAGUGAACAUUCUGUGAUGGAAGUUCGAAAGAGCAGCCAAAAGCUGCAAAGCCAUCACUGCCUGCUGAGAACAGAACUGGAGCAGGGGCAGGCAGAUUACUCUCUUUCAUGCUUCUCCCCUCUCACCUCACAAAUCUCUCUUCCUUUUGCUUGCCUUUGACCUCCUAUUCUUUUAGUUUCUCUUUCGCUCUCCCUUAAUGAUUAUAUAAUAUUAGUUAAUUUAAAAAUUGGUUAUAAUUAUAUAACUAUAUAGCUAAUUAUAUAACUAUAUAUUAAUUAUAUAGUAGUUAAUAUAAAAACACUUUCCACAUGAGCAUAUCAUUUUAGUAUGUAAAACACUGAAAUGUAUAUAGUCGACCCUUGAACAACAUGUCCACUUAUAGGCAGAUUUUCUUCUGCCUCUGCCACCCCUGAGACAGCAAGGCCAACCCCUUCUCUUCCUCCUCCUCCUCAGCCUACUCAGCGUGAAGAUGACGAGGAUGAAGGCUUGCCUUUUUGAUGAUCCACUUCCCCUUAAUGAACAACGGAGUUUCGCUCUUGAACCUGGGAGGCGGACGUUUUUAAAAACAGCUGCCUGGAGAAGCGGCCGGACGCAGGGGAAGGCUGCGCUGCCGGAAAGGGUUAACCCCGCGGGCGCCGACAUCUGGCAGGAGCGAGGGCGUUGGCAGAGCCCGGUCCGCCCGUACCAGUCUGUACAGGGGAACUGUCCCGCCUGCUGAUUUAUCAUUCCCUAAUGUCACGGGGAUGGGAUGUUGAAAUUGUGGCUAGAAUGUGAAAUACGAAAAACACGAAGAUUAUGAUUUAGCGUCUGGGGAAGAUCAGCGUUAGCCUGCAGAACAGCUUGUAAACGGGAGGCAUCCUUGGCCCUAGCUUGUGGUUUUUGACUCCAACACUCAAGCUGGGGAUCUGGGCGGGCAGAGCUUUCUUGGGUUAGAGCAGACAGGCAAAAGUGGAAUUAAUAAGAGCAAAACCACUUCUGUGCUGCUAUGGGGAUAGUGCGGGCGAGCGCCAGGAGGACCAAAGUAAAUUUUAAUUAAACAGAGACCUGAUGUUGAAGGAUAAAUAAAACAACGUGGGGUGUAAACAGCUUAAAUCAGGGAUUCAAAUGACACCUGCGGGUGUCUAGACAUGAGGUGCAUCCUGAUAAUUUAUAGUCUCGGAGAAGAUGCAGAUGAGUAGGAUAAUAUCUGCAAAUUUUGCUCCUUAAAAGAAGUAAUAGCUUGAAUUUUAAGGAGGUACUAAAUAAGGGAACUAAGUGGGAGAAUGAUUUUAACAGUUAUCCGUGGAGGAAAAG
rnacentral:lncRNA from 1 species